GGACGUCUGAUGGGUUGGGAAGGAUAUUGCGUCGCAAUAUUGGGAAUAUUUCUGUUUUAAACAACAAAGCCAAGAUAAUGGAUAUCACACAAGCAACGUGCAAACUUUGUGCAAGAGUGAACAUCUUAAACUAUUCACAUACAGAAAGAGAAAGUGAAAACUGACGGCGCUGUGGGCAUCUCACGCUGCAUUAACCAAAAAUAUUAUUCUCUCAGAGACGACAAGAGACGAAACUACUUCAGCAUAUAGCUAUAAUGUUUGUCAUGAUUCAGACAGACCUGCAGAGAUUCAGUCUGAUGAUCAAAAGAGAGACACUCACAGAUGAGGUGAGAUAUUGUAUAGUGAGGUAACCCACUCAAGCCCAGGUUACUGCACCUGUGGGGCAAUAGAUGCAUUAUUUAGAAAGCAGCAAAAACUUAUAAUGUGCUUAAGAACUGUAAGCUUAAUCGUUGUCAAAAGUAUUUAUUAAACAUUUAAAUUUUAUACUACAUAUAAUUUAAUUCUAUACUGUCAAAAUACAAUACUAACAGUAAUAUUCAUUUUUAAAUUUCAGAUGAUAAAGCAUCAAGCUUUUAUUACAGCAGAAAACACCAGAAAGCCCUUAAAGCUUCUCUUUUCUAUCAGUUUCUGGAGAAACCGAGCAUAAUGUGCUCUAAGACUGACUGAGAGACAGGACUUUUAUUCUGAGAGGAGCGAGAAUGGACACGAAUCACAAAACUGAUGGAAAAAGAUCCCCUCUUUAGCUCUGCUUGUGUUUUAUCUUCUUAUUCAGUCAUUAGCUCACAGAAGCGGUGGUAAUGCAC
ensembl:lncRNA